AAGGGGUGAACAGUGAGGUGGCAAAGUUUGUAGAGGAUACAAAAUUACUCAAGAGUGUUAAAUUGGAAGCUGACUGCAAAAUGUUACAAAUGGAUCUCACAAAACUAGGUGCCUUGGCAACAAAAUGGCAGAUGAAAUUCAAUGUUAAAUCAAAGUAAUUCACAUGGCAAAAUAUAAUCCCAGCUAUACAUACAAAACGAGGGUGCCUAAAUUAGCUGUUACCCAUCAAGAAAGAGAUCUUGGAGUCAUUUGCAGUACUCUGUUUUUCUAGGAAUCCUUCUCAUGGUGCCUGUAUCAUCCUGAACUCGUUCUCCAGCUUCAGAGUAGCCGCCCUGUUAGUCUGUAUCCGCAAAAAGAACUAAGGUGCCACAAGUACUCCUGUUCUCUCUCCAGCUUCAGAACACUUAAAAAUUAUCUCCAGUCAUCAAUGGGACAGAUGCAACUGAAUAACCUAACUGUCCUUAACCUCCAUCAAGACAAUACCAGGGAACUAGAAGUAAAUAAGAUUGCUGACAGUUUCAUCCAGAAAGCUACAAAAUGUCUUUAAACAGGGAUGUUAGUGAAGACACCUUGCAGGUGAUUGCAGUGAUUUUAAUACACAGUAAUUCAUGAUGAUGUUAUUAUGUAGCUCAUAACAAUUUACUCAUUAUUAAAAUAGUAAAGAUACUAAUGACAGACAAAUUCAAUAACUAGAAUAUGAAACAAUGUAUAAAUAUGCUGAAAAUAGCCUUCCCCCAAAAGUGGCAGAGUGCCCCCUCCCCAAAACACACACACACACCCCUCUUCAAAAGCGCCCAGUGGCAAAAACAGAAGUCAGCGCCUAUGACUUGGAAACUGAAAGGGCCUGCAGUGUAUCAAAUAUACAGACUCAUGACUGAACAGACACAAGGAGUUGAGUGAAGAGCACUGCAGUGACCCUAACUGCCCCCAGGGGCAGCGAUAAACUUCAAUCUACACAAGCCCUGCUGGGACAGAUCCCCCAAAAGGGUAAACAGGGAGCUCUCUUGCCUAGUGAGGAAACUCCAAACUAAAGCCUGGCUCAGCCCAGAUCCAAGCCAUAAUCUAGAACCAGGACAGAGUCUUGCAAUCAGCAUCCCGAUGCAAUUCAGCCUAGGGAGGUCCCACAGCAGCAAGGGUGCCACCGUCAAUCCCAUGUUGGCGCUCACAGCUGUGGGUGCUGUUUUGCCGUUAGACACUCCCCUCAGCUCUGCUCUCAGGACCCAUAUCUCCCAUCACCACCCCGGGUAGAAAAGCGACCACCGCUCGGACUGCACGGAGUCCCGGGGAACUUUGAAAGACCCGAGCAGGGCAUGCCAGGAAAGGGCACUUCUCAAAGCAGGGCUGCAAUUCCCGCAAUUGCAUCAGACAGUGACACAGCGGCCAAAACUCAGUCACCAGCCCCGCAUCCCGGCCCGCCAAAGACGGAGCGGGGAGCACUGCACUGCCGUGGAAAAACACUUCUCAGGAGGGAGGCACGUCCAGCUCCCCGCGAAGAAAGAGCCAAGGGCUGCUGGGGCUGUCCGAUAAGGAGCCGCGCACACCGGGGGCCAAAGUUCAGGGCAUGCACACGACUCGGAGCUGCUCUUUCAAGCAGCCCAGGAGACCUGCCAGCAGGACUGAGACCCCGGGUGCCGAGCAAGACACCUCGAGGGGCUGGGCGAUUGUCAGCCCCCAAGGCAGCAGCGGCAGCAGAGGGGAAGUCCCGGGUCAGGAGGAUAAGGGGGGGGGGGUGCUGCUGUCCCAUCAGGUGCACACAGGCGGCCGCUCCUGACCCGCGCGAGGCGCUGCUCCCCACCCCCGAGUGGACCCCGGCGGACGGUCGCUCCAGCGCGCGGCUCCCGGGCAAGCUGCAGGCAGCGCCCCAGCACUCACCUGCCAGGAUCGCCUUGCCGGGGGGUUAAUAAAGCGACCGGGGACCAAAACAGCAGCAGGAUAUCAGAGUGAGGACUCGGGGAUCUCGAGUACUGAGUGGGAACUGAAAACUGCAAGGGCUGAUUGACAAGCAUUGGCUACAGACCCAAAAAGCACCUCAAGUCUGGGGCCAUUCAGAUGGAAAGAGUUUCCCCCUCCUACACUUACCCUAUAAAGAUCAUUAAAAAAUGAAAUCAUGUUAUUUGAUAAGCUGUCAUGAUGUCUGGCUCUGUGUUAGACACAAUCUGAAGACAAUCCUAACCCUGAAGAAUUUACAAUCUAAAGACUGUCCCAAAACACAGGACUCAGUGACUCCAAGCAAUGAGUGAACAGGGAUUUUACAUUAUUAAUAUUACUGCUGACACCUCCCACAGGCACUGAACAUUGUUUUCAGCUAGAAACAUAGUGUGUCCAAUGAUGUGGUUUUACCAGAAAUCUUUAGGUGGUUGAAGUAUUGCACCAAAAGCAUACCUAUCACACACUUACACACAUUAUAGCACAGCUACUUUAAUUAUACAGCAAUUUGAAAAGUGUGAAGCACUACUUAAAUAUUAGAAUUGGUCAAGAUAUGCUACCCAGAAAUUGACCAUUACAAGCCCCUCCACCUGCUACAAAAAUACACCAAUUUAUGCUAUGAUGAGGAGGCAGUGAACUAUAUUUCCUUUCUCCAGCAGUGAAGGUUCACCAGUAUUCCAACAGGCUCUUUACAUCAAGUCUAUAGUCUGCUACGCAUGACCAUGAAGAUGGAGAUGUUAUGUUAGGGCUUUUGAGUCAGAGCAUGUGGUGAACCAGUAAGAUUCUGAGGACGCUAUUCUACAGUGCCUCACAGGGCCCCAGUUUGAGCACCAUUUGCAAACAAGAGUCCAUUGUGAGGCAACAUUCAGUCUGAAAGGAUUUCCCUUCCCACACUACCUGGUAUGUUGUAGCCAUCGAGGGCUUAUAAUCUUCAAGUGGGAGUAGAACUCUGUAGUAGUAGGAUUUUAUGUUUGUAUUUUGUAUGAUUUAGAAUAAAAAAUAAAGAACGAGAUAAUAAUGUAGCAUGUAUUAAAUGUAUUGGUAUAUGAUUUGAUCAUAUUCUGCCAGCCACCCUUUUUGAAUGGCAGAAAGGAAUGGCCUAAUGGGCCAUUUGGUAAAGAUGCAUCAGCCAGAAUGUGUGUCUGUGCUGAUUUCAAAGGUAGUGACAGACCUUAGAGGGUCACCAAUUUGUUGUAGGUUUAGCAUUUUAAAAUAAGUAAAAGAAUGCAAUGAUUGUUUUUCUUUUGCAUUGCAAUUUGAUGUUCCUGUUCAAAAUGUUCUGUGUAAAUUAAUUUUGUUUUGUGUGUGAAUGAGGAAUGUGUGUGUUAAGAGAUAAGUGUGAAGGCCAUCGCUGAGCCAGAUGUAUGAGGGAGGAACCAGAAACAGACGCAAGGGUGCCAGGAGGCUGCAACAUGCCCCUGUUGAAAUGUCAGAGGAGGGCAGAUUUACGAUUCUAAAAAUGAGACAGGCACCUAUCA